AACGUAGGUGGCAAGCGUUAUCCGGAUUUACUGGGCGUAAAGCGUGUGCAGGCUGUUCACCAAGUGGUGUAUGAAAGCGCUCGGCUCAACCGGGCAAGGGUAUGCCAGACUGGUGGACUAGAGACUGACAGAGGGUGGUGGAAUUCCGGGUGUAGUGGUGAAAUGCGUAGAUAUCCGGAGGAACACCGGUGGCGAAGGCGGCUUCCUGGACCGACACUGACGCUGAGGCGCGAAAGCUAGGGGAGCAAACGGG
rnacentral:rRNA from 1 species